GUGAGGAAUUUUCCGCAAUGGGCGAAAGCCUGACGGAGCAAUGCCGCGUGAAGGAUGAAGGCCUAUGGGUUGUAAACUUCUUUUCUCAGAAAAGAAUUAUGACGGUAUCUGAGGAAUAAGCAUCGGCUAACUCUGUGCCAGCAGCCGCGGUAAGACAGAGGAUGCAAGCGUUAUCCGGAAUGAUUGGGCGUAAAGCGUCUGUAGGUUGUUUAAAAAGUAUUCUGUCAAAGAUUAGGGCUUAACCCUAGAUAGGCAGAAUAAACUUUUAAGCUUGAGUUUGGUAGAGGCAGAGGGAAUUCCCGGUGGAGCGGUGAAAUGCGUAGAUAUCGGGAGGAACACCAAAGGCGAAGGCACUCUGCUGGGCCAAUACUAACACUGAGAGACGAAAGCGAGGGGAGCAAAUGGGAUUAGAUACCCCGGUAGUCC
rnacentral:rRNA from 1 species